rnacentral:rRNA from 1 species
GGGCGUUAAGUUGCAGGGUAUAGACCCGAAACCCGGUGAUCUAGCCAUGGGCAGGUUGAAGGUUGGGUAACACUAACUGGAGGACCGAACCGACUAAUGUUGAAAAAUUAGCGGAUGACCUGUGGCUGGGGGUGAAAGGCCAAUCAAACCGGGAGAUAGCUGGUUCUCCCCGAAAGCUAUUUAGGUAGCGCCUCGUGAAUUCAUCUCCGGGGGUAGAGCACUGUUUCGGCUAGGGGGCCAUCCCGGCUUACCAACCCGAUGCAAACUGCGAAUACCGGAGAAUGUUAUCACGGGAGACACACGGCGGGUGCUAACGUCCGUCGUGAAGAGGGAAACAACCCAGACCGCCAGCUAAGGUCCCAAAGUCAUGGUUAAGUGGGAAACGAUGUGGGAAGGCCCAGACAGCCAGGAUGUUGGCUUAGAAGCAGCCAUCAUUUAAAGAAAGCGUAAUAGCUCACUGGUCGAGUCGGCCUGCGCGGAAGAUGUAACGGGGCUAAACCAUGCACCGAAGCUGCGGCAGCGACACUAUGUGUUGUUGGGUAGGGGAGCGUUCUGUAAGCCUGUGAAGGUGUGCUGUGAGGGUUGCUGGAGGUAUCAGAAGUGCGAAUGCUGACAUAAGUAACGAUAAAGCGGGUGAAAAGCCCGCUCGCCGGAAGACCAAGGGUUCCUGUCCAACGUUAAUCGGGGCAGGGUGAGUCGACCCCUAAGGCGAGGCCGAAAGGCGUAGUCGAUGGGAAACGGGUUAAUAUUCCCGUACUUGGUGUUACUGCGAAGGGGGGACGGAGAAGGCUAUGUUGGCCGGGCGACGGUUGUCCCGGUUUAAGCGUGUAGGUGUGUGUUCCAGGUAAAUCCGGUUCACUUUAACACUGAGGCGUGAUGACGAGGCACUACGGUGCUGAAGCAACAAAUGCCCUGCUUCCAGGAAAAGCCUCUAAGCAUCAGGUAACAUCAAAUCGUACCCCAAACCGACACAGGUGGUCAGGUAGAGAAUACCAAGGCGCUUGAGAGAACUCGGGUGAAGGAACUAGGCAAAAUGGUGCCGUAACUUCGGGAGAAGGCACGCUGACACGUAGGUGAAGUGAUUUACUCAUGGAGCUGAAGUCAGUCGAAGAUACCAGCUGGCUGCAACUGUUUAUUAAAAACACAGCACUGUGCAAACACGAAAGUGGACGUAUACGGUGUGACGCCUGCCCGGUGCCGGAAGGUUAAUUGAUGGGG